UACGUAGGGCGCAAGCGUUGUCCGGAUUUAUUGGGCGUAAAGAGCUCGUAGGCGGCUCGUUGCGUCGGCUGUGAAAACCCGCAGCUCAACUGUGGGCUUGCAGCCGAUACGGGCGGGCUGGAGUUCGGUAGGGGAGACUGGAAUUCCUGGUGUAGCGGUGAAAUGCGCAGAUAUCAGGAGGAACACCGAUGGCGAAGGCAGGUCUCUGGGCCACUACUGACGCUGAGAAGCGAAAGCAUGGGGAGCGAACAGG
rnacentral:rRNA from 1 species